AGUGAACGCUGGCGGUAGGCCUAACACAUGCAAGUCGAACGGCAGCACCGUAAUAGCUUGCUCUUACGGGUGGCGAGGGGCGGACGGGUGAGGGAUACAUCGGAAUCUACUUUUUCGUGGGGGAUAACGUAGGGAAACUUACGCUAAUACCGCAUACGACCUACGGGUGAAAGCAGGGGAUCUUUGGACCUUGGGCGAUUGCAUGAGCCGAUGUCGGUUUGGCUAGUUGGCGGGGUAACGGCCCACCAAGGCGGCGAUGCGUAGCUGGUCUGGAGGGGGGAAGAGCGCCACUGGAAGUGGGCGGCGGCCCAGACUCCUAGGGGCGGCAGCGGUGGGGAAUAUUGGCCGAUGGGGGGAAGCUUGAUCCAGCCAUGCCGGGUGGGUGAAGAAGGGCUUCGUGUUGUAUGGCCCUUUUGUCGUGAUAGAAAAGUAGCACGUGAAUACCCGGCUGUUCUGACGGUACCUAAAGAAUAAGCACCGGCUAACUUCGUG
rnacentral:rRNA from 1 species